UACGGAGGGGGCUAGCGUUGUUCGGAAUUACUGGGCGUAAAGCGCACGUAGGCGGCUUUGUAAGUUAGAGGUGAAAGCCCGGGGCUCAACUCCGGAAUUGCCUUUAAGACUGCAUCGCUAGAAUUAUGGAGAGGUAAGUGGAAUUCCGAGUGUAGAGGUGAAAUUCGUAGAUAUUCGGAAGAACACCAGUGGCGAAGGCGACUUACUGGACACAUAUUGACGCUGAGGUGCGAAAGCGUGGGGAGCAAACAGG
rnacentral:rRNA from 1 species